rnacentral:tRNA from 1 species
UCUUCCGGUGAGAUUCGAACUCACGAUCUUCUAUUCCUUCGAACAGAUGCUUUAGGCCUUCUAAGCUACGGAUUCU